rnacentral:rRNA from 1 species
UACGGGGGGAGCAAGCGUUGUUCGGAUUUACUGGGCGUAAAGGGCGCGUAGGCGGUCAGCACAAGUCAGUUCGUGAAAUCUCCGGGGCUUAACUCGGAAAGGUCAACUGAUACUGUGCGACUAGAGUGCAGAAGGGGCAACUGGGAAUUCUCGGUGUAGGCGGUGAAAUGCGUAGAUAUCGGGGAGGAACACCAAUGGCGA